CACGUAGGGUGCGAGCGUUGUCCGGAAUUAUUGGGCGUAAAGAGCUCGUAGGCGGUGUGUCGCGUCGGCCGUGAAAACCUGUGGCUUAACUAUGGGCUUGCGGUCGAUACGGGCAUCACUGGAGUUCGGCAGGGGAGACUGGAAUUCCUGGUGUAGCGGCGAAAUGCGCAGAUAUCAGGAGGAACACCGGUGGCGAAGGCGGGUCUCUGGGCCGAUACUGACGCUGAGGAGCGAAAGCGUGGGGAGCGAACAGG
rnacentral:rRNA from 1 species